rfam:Pan troglodytes isolate Yerkes chimp pedigree #C0471 (Clint) chromosome 7, whole genome shotgun sequence.
UAAUAGGUUGUUGCAAAAGUAAUUGCGGUUUUUGCCAUUCAAAGCAAUGACAAAAACCGCAAUUACUUUUGCAACAACCUAAUA